CAAGCGGUGGAGUAUGUUGUUUAAUUCGAAGAUACACGAAGAACCUUACCAGGUCUUGACAUACCAUUGACAGGCGCAGAGAUGUGCUCUUCUUCGGACAAUGGAUACAGGUGGUGCAUGGUUGUCGUCAGCUCGUGCCGUGAGGUGUUGGGUUAAGUCCCGCAGCGAGCGCAACCCCUAUUGCUAGUUACUAACAUUGAGUUGAGGACUCUAGUGAGACUGCCAGUGACAAACUGGAGGAAGGGUGGGGAUGACGUCAAAUCAUCAUGCCCUUUAUGACCUGGGCUACAAACGUACUACAAUGGCCAAUACAAAGAGAUGCGAAGUCGCGAGAUGGAGCGAACCUCAAAAAAAUGGUCUCAGUUCAGAUUGAAGUCUGCAACUCGACUUCAUGAAGGCGGAAUCGCUAGUAAUCGCGGGUCAGCAGACCGCGGUGAAUACGUUCCCGGGUUUU
rnacentral:rRNA from 1 species